AUGUACUGGAAGUUGAAGUAAAAAGGAAAACAAACAACCCUUAUGCCUCUUUACCUAGCUCUGUCAGUUUAUCCAAAUAUUCCUUCCAGGGCUGCAAAAUAAAAGGCUAACACCUUUAAAGACCUGGCUGACUUCCAGCACUGACAGAAGUCAUGCCUGGCCUAUUCUGCUCUGCUGCCAUGCUCUCUUCAACCUGAGGGGUCUUCCAGCAUGGCACCAGUGGGGAACACAUAAAGAGUGAAUUUCUCUUGAUCCUGAUUCAGAGAAACAUCAGAGCUUAUCACAGUCCCAUCCCCACUCGGAGUAGAGAGCCUUUAAGCGGUUAAAUAAGGAUAUUGCACAGGGAAGAUUGCCGGUAAACUGCCUGUGAAGAACACUGCAAACAACAGCAUGCUCCUUCUGGUCACCUAUUCAGAAAAAUCAAAGCCCAAAGGUUUGCCAGGUUGUUCUACAUCUAUUUGCGUGAAUGGGAAGUAAUUUACAGGUCGAGGAUGAGAGAAGGAGCUAGAGACACUGGGAACUUGUUGGUGCAGUGGCCCUGCCCCGCAAAGCAACAUCCACAGAAAACAUUUGGGACUUUGCUUUGGCUUUGGCCUCCCUUCCUGGACUGCAUCUCCGGCAGGGCCCUCUCUUCCUGAACUGUUACCAAGAAAGGAGCGUUAAUUGGCUUCAUUAUUUAGCCUUAAUGUAGAAUGCUCACCACUUAUGCUGAUGCUUGCCAGCACUAUCUGUGAAGUUCAAAGUGAGUCCUUAUGGGUGGAGAUGAGCUUCUGUACAAGCAGCAGCCCUCCUUUGCUCACCUCUGGGACCUUCUCCUGGCACAGCACCAAGAACAGCUGAGCUGUUCUCUCAGACCUACUUUUUACAGAGCUGUCUUGCCAGCCUUACACCCCUACAGAGCCAUUUUGCCAAAGAAGCCAGGAACAGAACUAAUCUAUGCUCAUAUGUAUUGCUUUUGUAUUUUCCAGUGCUAGGCAUUUACAGACAGACCUUUGUGACAAGUUUAUUCCUUCAUAUGUUUAUAUCCUAAGCAAAUGCUAACAGGAUAAAUGUGCUGUCUGCUUCAAUCCCUGCUUGCCUAUUUCUCUCCAAAAUAGUUCUGCAGGAUCUGAGUGCUCUCUAUGGCAAGCUGGUUGUCUGGUAUGUUUAUCUCCCAACUGAACACUGGCGAAUACAAAAAUGACACGCCACCUUUUUGCAGGAAGAAAUAAACUGAGCUUCAGUCUG